rnacentral:rRNA from 1 species
UACGAGAGGAGCGAGCAUUAUUCAAUAUGAUUAGGCGUAAAGGGUUCGUAGGUUGUUUUUUAAAAGUUGAAAGAAAAAAAAUUAAAGCUAAACUUUAUGUAUUUUUCAAUACUUAAAAACUUGAGUAUAAAUAGAGGAUGAUAGAAUUUUUAUUGUAGGGAUGAAAUCCGUUAAUAAUAAAAGGAAUACCAAAAACGUAAGUAUUCGUCUGGGUAUAUACUGACACUGAGGAACGAAAGCUUGGGUAGCGAACGGG